rnacentral:rRNA from 1 species
UACGAAGGGGACGAGCGUUGUUCGGAAUCACUGGGCGUAAAGGGUGCGUAGGCGGGUCUUUAAGUCAGGGGUGAAAUCCUGGAGCUCAACUCCAGAACUGCCUUUGAUACUGAGGAUCUUGAGUUCGGGAGAGGUGAGUGGAACUGCGAGUGUAGAGGUGAAAUUCGUAGAUAUUCGCAAGAACACCAGUGGCGAAGGCGGCUCACUGGCCCGAUACUGACGCUGAGGCACGAAAGCGUGGGGAGCAAACAGG